UGGGGAAUAUUGCGCAAUGGGGGAAACCCUGACGCAGCAACGCCGCGUGAAGGAUGAAGGCCUUCGGGUUGUAAACUUCUUUGAUUGGGGAAGAAUAAUGACGGUACCCAAAAAACAAGCCACGGCUAACUACGUGCCAGCAGCCGCGGUAAUACGUAGGUGGCGAGCGUUGUCCGGAAUUACUGGGUGUAAAGGGCGUGUAGGCGGGAAUGUAAGUCAGAUGUGAAAUUCCGAAGCUCAACUUCGGACCUGCAUCUGAAACUAUGUUUCUUGAGUGAUGGAGAGGAAAGCGGAAUUCCUAGUGUAGCGGUGAAAUGCGUAGAUAUUAGGAGGAACACCAGUGGCGAAGGCGGCUUUCUGGACAUUAACUGACGCUGAGGCGCGAAAGCGUGGGGAGCAA
rnacentral:rRNA from 1 species